rfam:Solanum tuberosum cultivar DM 1-3 516 R44 scf00306_24, whole genome shotgun sequence.
UAAGAUUCGACCUGCUCAUGAAAUUAAAUACACAUUAGUGCUGUUUAUCAGCUUCCUCUCUUGAAUAUCCAACGACAUGGGAGUUAAAUCACAGCACAAAAUGU